UCUCUCAUCCUUUUCCUUCUCUCUCCAGAAGUCGCCGCCGGUUGCCGCCGUCGCCGGAAUCCCAAUCCUCACCAAAAUUUCCAAAUUUUCUUCUCUUCCUUCCCUCUUUCCAUAUCUCCAACCAAAACAAAGAAAUUUGGCCAUCCAACCCUCCAAAACCCUAGAACCCGAAGCUAAAUUGGGGCUUUUUGUGAUUUCUUCUUUCCAAGCUUAAAUCAAGGUAAUACCCCUCCUAAUCUAGCCUCUAUUCAUCCGAUCUACAUCUAUUUCUUCCUAAAUCCGAGUUUUUGAUUUGGAUUUGUGAUUUUGUUUGCAUGAAUCCGGUUUCUCCUUAAACCAUGAAGCUAGGCUAUGGGUUUGGCAAGGAUUUUUGGUGAAGAAGGCCAAGGAGAAGGAAUAGGACGUGAUUUUUGAAGAAGAAAGGGAAACACGAUCGUUAAGGAAGCUUAAGCGGAAAGCAUCAGAGUGUGGAGUACGCCAGCAUUUUCCAGGUAGGGUGAGCUGUCCCUUCCUUAUUAGAGGCUUUUCGGUAUAUGUGGAAUGCUCUAGUAUAAUAUUAUGUUGCCUGCAAGUAUUUUUGGUUGUUCAUUAGUCGAUGCCUCGUGGUACA